ACGCUGGCGGCGUGCCUAAUACAUGCAAGUAGAACGCUGAAGGAGGAGCUUGCUUCUCCGGAUGAGUUGCGAACGGGUGAGUAACGCGUAGGUAACCUGCCUGGUAGCGGGGGAUAACUAUUGGAAACGAUAGCUAAUACCGCAUAACAGUAGAUGUUGCAUGACAUUUGCUUAAAAGGUGCAAUUGCAUCACUACCAGAUGGACCUGCGUUGUAUUAGCUAGUUGGUGGGGUAACGGCUCACCAAGGCGACGAUACAUAGCCGACCUGAGAGGGUGAUCGGCCACACUGGGACUGAGACACGGCCCAGACUCCUACGGGAGGCAGCAGUAGGGAAUCUUCGGCAAUGGACGGAAGUCUGACCGAGCAACGCCGCGUGAGUGAAGAAGGUUUUCGGAUCGUAAAGCUCUGUUGUAAGAGAAGAACGAGUGUGAGAGUGGGAAGUUCACACUGUGACGGUAUCUUACCAGAAAGGGACGGCUAACUACGUGCCAGCAGCCGCGGUAAUACGUAGGUCCCGAGCGUUGUCCGGAUUUAUUGGGCGUAAAGCGAGCGCAGGCGGUUUGAUAAGUCUGAAGUUAAAGGCUGUGGCUUAACCAUAGUACGCUUUGGAAACUGUUUAACUUGAGUGCAAGAGGGGAGAGUGGAAUUCCAUGUGUAGCGGUGAAAUGCGUAGAUAUAUGGAGGAACACCGGUGGCGAAAGCGGCUCUCUGGCUUGUAACUGACGCUGAGGCUCGAAAGCGGGGGGAGCAAACAGGAUUAGAUACCCUGGUAGUCCACGCCGUAAACGAUGAGUGCUAGGUGUUAGACCCUUUCCGGGGUUUAGUGCCGCAGCUAACGCAUUAAGCACUCCGCCUGGGGAGUACGACCGCAAGGUUGAAACUCAAAGGAAUUGACGGGGGCCCGCACA
rnacentral:rRNA from 1 species